rnacentral:lncRNA from 1 species
CAUUACGCGCCGAAUCGGUGGGCCCUACCUAUUCCAGCGUUUGGUUCGCUGGUUUGUCCAUUACGUGCCUAAUCCAUUACGUGCGUAUUCCUCAGUCCUCCCCGAUUUGUAUUCCCUGCCCAAAGUUCAGAUUAGCUUCCGUUUAGCAUUCUUGAAAUUUUUAUGCCCUGUUUUGCCCUCAUCUUCCAAGCCGAAAUCCACAUCCAGAUCUCUCCCUCCCAACAUCAAAGAAGCUGCCAGGUGAGUGACCUCCACCGCUCCCCUUUCACUUUCAUUUGUGAUUGUUUUGUCGAACCAAACUCUCACAUUCUGUUCUUGAAAUGCAGUGAGUAGGGAAGUUCAAAAACAGACUUCUGUUCUUCAAAUUUCAACAAGUAUCUCCAAAGAAACCCAGAAGAAAACCUUUCCAAU